GACAGCAAAGGUCGGAAAGGCUCCCGACGCACUCGCAAAGACUACCUGAGGUGAUGGAUACGCCGCCCAUCUUGCUGUU
rnacentral:ncRNA from 1 species